rnacentral:misc_RNA from 1 species
CUCCUCGUCGCCGGGCUCCUGGUAGGUACCGGAAGACUUGGCCGCGCCUCUGGUGCGCUCGCCGAUGAUGUUGCUCUGGUCGAUGGCGUUCUUCUCGUCGGCUUCAAGCUGAGCAUCAGAGUCGGCGGUGUCAGGGUCGAUGGGGUCCUCAACGGGCUUGUCGUCGGUCUGCACGGGAAUCUCGCUCUGGCCAGUGCGGCUCUGGUACUCGUUGUCCUGGACCUCGCCGGUGGGGAUAUCUUGGGCGCUCAUGAUUGCGUUGAAUGGGUGGUUUGUGUUGGAAGCGGCUUGGUGUUGGGAUAUACGAUUGGG